CACCCCCCGCGCCGGAAUCAGUUCCUCUGCAGUCGACUGCAGAGUGCCAUUGUCACUGCAUGUGGGCCCGGACGUCCAUCAGGCCCACUCGUCGGCCACUGCAGUCGACUGCAGAGGAUCUCAUUCCCCCGCGCCAUGCCGCCGCCCGCCACCGCCGCCUCCCGCUCCGGUGCCGCGGAGCCCGAGUCCCCGGCGGCGCGCCGCCUGCGCCGCCUCUCGCUGCACCUCCUCCGGCCCUCCCCCGCCCCGGCCGACCAGGCGGCGGGCCCGGCGCUGGCCCUCGCGGCGUGCGCGGGGCGGGCGCGGCGCGUCGAGGGCGGCGCGGACGUGGCGGCGGCGCUGGCGGCCUACCUGCGGGGCCGGCACCGCGCGGCGCAGCUGCGGCUGUUCGACUUCUCCGCGCGCGCCCGGACCUGCAGACGCCCGUGGAGAUGACCACGGCCGCGCACCGGAGCUCUGCUUCCGCCAGCUGCGCGCGCUGGUGCGGGACGCCGGGGUGCGCCCGCUCACGCUCAUGGCCACCGACCCCGCCGAGUACUUCGCCGUCAUGGAGGCCGCCGGCGGCGCCGACAUCUCCCUCGGCGUCAAGCUCGGCGUUCAGUACAGCCUCUGGGGAGGUUCUGUCAUAAAUUUAGGAACCAAAAAGCACAGAGAUAAGUUCUUUGAUGGAAUUGACAAUUUAGAUUACCCAGGCUGUUUUGCAAUGACAGAACUGCAUCAUGGAUCGAAUGUCCAAGCCCUACAGACUACUGCUACAUUUGAUCCUGUUACUGAUGAGUUCAUCAUUAACACCCCAAAUGAUGGGGCUAUUAAGUGGUGGAUUGGCAAUGCUGCAGUUCAUGGAAAAUUUGCUACUGUCUUUGCAAGGUUAAUUUUGCCCCUUCAAGGAAAAGGAGAACCUGCUGAUAUGGGCAUUCACGCAUUCAUUGUCCCCAUACGGGACUUUGAAACUCAUGCUGUUCUUCCUGGAAUUGAGAUCAAUGACUGUGGGCACAAGAUAGGCCUGAAUGGUGUAGACAAUGGUGCACUGAGAUUUCGCUCAGUUAGGAUACCCAGAGAUAAUCUUCUGAACCGGUUUGGUGAUGUCUCACGAGAUGGAAAAUACACAAGCAGUCUCCCCACAAUUAACAAAGAUUUGCAGCAACCCUUGGGGAGCUUGUUGGUGGACGAGUCGGUAUUGCAUACUGUUCUGUUGGUGUGCUCAAAGUUGCAGUAACAAUUGCCGUGAGGUAUGCUCUUUUACGCCACCAAUUUGGUCCACCUAAGCAGCCCGAAAUCAGUGUGUUGGAUUAUCAGUCUCACCAGCACAAACUAAUGCCCAUGUUAGCAUCUUCAUAUGCGUUUCACUUUGCCACAGUCCAAUUGGUGGAUAAGUACUCAGAAAUGAAGAAAACCAACGAUGAAGAUCUUAUUGCUGACGUGCAUGUUCUUUCAUCCGGGUUGAAAGCUUAUAUAACUUCAUAUACAGCGAAGUCUAUAAGCAUAUGCAGAGAAGCAUGUGGUGGCCAUGGUUAUGCUGCUGUAAAUCGUUUUGGAGCUCUGCGCAAUGACCAUGAUAUAUUCCAAACAUUUGAGGGGGACAACACAGUUCUUCUGCAGCAGGUUGCUGGAGAUCUCUUGAAGCAAUAUCAGGAGAAAUUUAAGGGAGGUACACUCUCAGUUACCUGGAAUUACUUGAGAGAUUCCAUGGGUACCUACCUAUCCCAGCCUAAUCCUGUCACUGCCCGAUGGGAAGGGGAAGAUCAUCUGCGGGAUCCUAAUUUCCAGCUGGAUGCCUUCAGAUAUCUGACAUCUCGGUUGCUGCAUAGUGUCGCAGCUCAACUUCAGAAGCACAGCAAGACACUUGGAGGUUUUGGCGCAUGGAACAGAUGUUUGAAUCAUCUCCUCACACUUGCAGAGUCACACAUUGAGUCUGUAAUCCUUGCAAAGUUCAUUGAAUCAGUUAAAAGUUGCCCUGAUGAAAAAACACGAGAGGUCCUAAAGCUCGUGUGUGACCUUUACGCGCUUGAUAGGAUCUGGAAAGAUAUUGGAACAUAUCGGAAUGUAGACUAUGUUGCCCCAAACAAAGCAAAGGCUAUUCACAAGUUGACAGACUACCUUAGCUACCAAGUGAGGCUUGUGGCAAAAGAACUCGUCGACGCAUUUGAUCUUCCAGAUCUCAUCAUUCGUGCCCCAAUUGGCAUGCAAUCAGAGGCCUAUGCACAGUAUACUCAAUAUGUUGGCUUCUAAAUGAUAUAAAUAUUAACAUAGCUGGGAUAAGUUCAUAUGUACACCAAGUUGCAAUGAAGUGUAUAGAUGGGAAAAUAAGCUUAUCGGUGCUUGUAUACGUAAACUGUAAAGUCGAACCUUCUGUGAAUAAACUAUCAUAUUAUUUUUUUGGCACAAUUGUUUUAAA